rnacentral:rRNA from 1 species
GACGAACGCUGGCGGCGUGCCUAACACAUGCAAGUAGAACGCAGUUGCUCACGGGUCAGUAACGCGUAGCUCACUGCCCGGCAGUGGGGGUUAACUCUUGGAUACGCUAGCUAUUACCGCACACUACCAGAUGGACCGUCGUUGUAUUAGCUAGUUGGGUGGGUACCGGCUCACCAAGGCAACGAUACAUAGCCGCCCUGCGAGGGUGAUCGGCCACACGUGGACGGAGACACGGCCCAGACUCCUACGGGAGGCAGCAGUAGGGAAUCUUCGGCAAUGGGGGGAAGCCUGACCGAGCAACGCCGCGUGAGUGAAGAAGGUUUUCGGAUCGUCAAGCUCUGUUGUUAAGGAAGCGGUACUUAGCCAGAAAGGGACGGCUAACUACGUGCCAGCCGCCGCGGUAAUUC